rnacentral:rRNA from 1 species
AUUGAACGCUGGCGGCAGGCCUAACACAUGCAAGUCGAGCGAGCGGCGGACGGGUGAGUAAUGUCUGGGAAACUGCCUUCUGGAGGGGGAUAACUACUGGAAACGGUAGCUAAUACCGCAUACCAUCAGAUGUGCCCAGAUGGGGUUAGCUAGUAGGUGCGGUAACGGCUGACCAAGGCGACGAUCCCUAGCUGGUCUGAGAGGAUGACCAGCCACACUGGAACUGAGACACGGUCCAGACUCCUACGGGAGGCAGCAGUGGGGAAUAUUGCACAAUGGGCGAAAGCCUGAUGCAGCCAUGCCGCGUGUGUGAAGAAGGCCUUCGGGUUGUAAAGCACUUUCAGCGGGGAGGCGUUACCCGCAGAAGAAGCACCGGCUAACUCCGUGCCAGCAGCCGCGGUAAUAC